CGGAGGCAUCACUAUCUGGCGCUGGAUUAUCCAUUUUUGCAGCAUUAGCACUGUUGUUUUUGUUUGGAAUGGCCAGUUCCCAAUAUCUAUCCUGUUAUCAACUAUAUUGUACUUUUUGUAAGGUUACAUUAUCUACUUGGUUUCAGUGUAAAUGUAGCACAAAAAGAGGUAACAUGGUUGUUUUCAUGUUUGAUUUGGUUUGUAGCACACUAAGGAACACCAUACGGGAAAGGGCAUUGCACUUCUUUAUUUAUAAUUGACCUGUUGCGAUUCGGUUUGGUAUAGUACUUAAUUGAUACACCAUUUCAAGUUAUGUAGCCUAAAAUAACCCUUUCAAAUGAACUUUUUUAGUUGAUCUUCAGAGCAUCAACAUGGUGGACUAGAUUAUGAAAUCAACUAUGAUCAUGAGAACUUGAAGCUAUUUGUUGACUGAAUUGUCAAUUGUUUUGCAUGAAUUGAAACUGGCAGUGUGAUACAUCACCGUAGAUGCUUUGUUGUAUACAUGCGCCUAAUCCUCUCUUUCUCUCUAAUCUUUUAUCUUGUGUGAAGAUCCUUUGCAGAUCAAUUUCCGAGGCAGAAUGCUAGGUGGCUCAUGCCAAGCAUUGUUUCACAUUCAGGGGGGGUUUACUCUCCCUCGAGGUAAGCGUGGAUGUAAUGGAUAUUGAUUUUGACUUGGGUGCAAAUUGAGUACUGACGCAAACUACUAUGGUUGCUGAUCCAUCACAAUAUUGACCAUGAACUUUGUGCACCUCUGAGGUUA